ensembl:lncRNA
AUGUGUUUCUCAGCUCCCCGCUGCGCCCAGCCUGGGCCCCGGGGCACCCUUUUAGGAGGCCGUCGCCGGGCAAGGCGACCCCCACCAGCGCCCGGGGCUCCCGGGAGCCCCUUAAAUGGCGGCCGCCGGGCUCCCGGAGGGGGCAGGCCGACGACGACCAUGCCGAGGGAAGCCGUGCUUCUGCUGGCCUGGCUGGCCUUGCUGCUGGCCCUCCCGGCCCCACUGCUGGCCUUCCCCAGCGCAGCGCCAGAUGUCACAGCUUCCUACCCGAAGGACACAACCACAGAAGUUACUGGUGAAGUGACCAUCAGUGAAAGCAGAGGCCGAAGGAGUGAAUACACACAGAUACACAAGGUCUUUUGUGGCUUGGAUUCCCAAGUAUAGUUCACGGUUGGUCAGCAUGCUCACCAGCUGCAGUUCAUUCCUGGGGACAGCAGUGUAGCACAGAUGUGGGAA